ACGGACAUCGAGGAAGUCUCAUCGGAGGAAGAAGAUGAAGAACACGACGUGUAAAACGACAAGGGAGACGAUGGAGAUUCGCCAAGAGUCA
rnacentral:sRNA from 1 species